rnacentral:rRNA from 1 species
UAGAUACAGAACCAAUACACCAUCUGUUAACAGCAGGUGGUGUAAAAAAGGUGAUUCAUAGUAACCGAACGGAUCGCAUUAUGGUCAUUUUAUAUGGCUGGCGAUAGAUCAUUCAAGUUUCUGACCUAUCAGCUUUCGACGGUAGUGUAUUGGACUACCGUGGCAGUGACGGGUAACGGGGAAUUAGGGUUCGAUUCCGGAGAGGGAGCCUGAGAAACGGCUACCACAUCUAAGGAAGGCAGCAGGCGCGCAAAUUACCCAAUCCUGACUCAGGGAGGUAGUGACAAGAAAUAACAACACUGGAAAUUUUAUUUCUAGUGAUUGGAAUGAUGGGAAUUUAAACCCCUUUCAGAGUAACAAUUGGAGGGCAAGUCUGGUGCCAGCAGCCGCGGUAAUUCCAGCUCCAAUAGCGUAUAUUAAAGUUGUUGCAGUUAAAAAGCUCGUAGUUGGAUGUCUGCUGGAAGCAAUCAGUCCGCCCUAUUUGUAGGGUGUGCACUUGAUGAAUUCUGGCAUCUAUAUCCCAAUAAUAUGAUGGUGUAUACCCUGUGUACACCCAUCUAUAUUGGGAUAAUACCGUUACUUUGAGAAAAUUAGAGUGUUUGAAGCAGGCUAAUUGCCUUGAAUACUGCAGCAUGGAAUAACAAUAUAGGAUUUCGGUUCUAUUUUGUUGGUUUCUAGGACUGAAAUAAUGAUUAAUAGGGACAGUUGGGGGCAUUCGUAUUU